UACGUAGGUGGCAAGCGUUGUUCGGAAUUACUGGGCGUAAAGGGCGCGUAGGCGGUGUGUCAAGUCAGGCAUGAAAGCCCCGGGCUCAACCUGGGAACCGCGCUUGAGACUGGCACGCUAGAGUUCGGGAGAGGAUGGUGGAAUUCCCAGUGUAGAGGUGAAAUUCGUAGAUAUUGGGAAGAACACCGAUGGCGAAGGCAGCCAUCUGGACCGACACUGACGCUGAGGCGCGAAAGCGUGGGGAGCAAACAGG
rnacentral:rRNA from 1 species